UACGUAGGGGGCAAGCGUUGUCCGGAUUUAUUGGGCGUAAAGAGCGUGUAGGCGGUUCGGUAGGUCCGUUGUGAAAACUCGAGGCUCAACCUCGAGACGCCGAUGGAAACCAUCGAACUAGAGUCCGGAAGAGGAGAGUGGAAUUCCUGGUGUAGCGGUGAAAUGCGCAGAUAUCAGGAAGAACACCCGUGGCUAAGGCGGCUCUCUAGUACGGUACUGACGCUGAGGCACGAAAGCGUGGGGAGCAAACAGG
rnacentral:rRNA from 1 species